GUGAGAGAGAGAGAGAGAGAGAGAGAGAGAGAGGGAGGGAGAGAGAGAGAGAGAGAGAGAGAGAGAGAGAUUAUUCUGGGGGGCUUCUCCCUCCCUCCCUCCCUUUCUCUCCCUCCCAUCCUGAUGAAC
rnacentral:miRNA from 1 species